rnacentral:rRNA from 1 species
GGAAUAUUGGACAAUGGGCGCAAGCCUGAUCCAGCCAUGCCGCGUGAGUGCUGAAGGCCUUAGGGUUGUAAAGCUCUUUCAGUAGGGAAGAUACUGACGGUACCUCCCGAAGAAGCCCCGGCUAACUUCGUGCCAGCAGCCGCGGUAAUACGAAGGGGGCUAGCGUUGUUCGGAUUUACUGGGCGUAAAGCGCACGUAGGCGGUUUGUUAAGUCAGAGGUGAAAUCCCGGAGCUCAACUCCGGAACUGCCUUUGAUACUGGCAAGCUAGAGUCCGGAAGAGGUAAGUGGAACUCCUAGUGUAGAGGCGGAAUUCGUAGAUAUUAGGAAGAACACCAGUGGCGAAGGCGGCUUACUGGUCCAGAACUGACGCUGAGGUGCGAAAGCGUGGGGAGCAAA